rnacentral:rRNA from 1 species
UACGAAGGGGGCUAGCGUUGCUCGGAAUUACUGGGCGUAAAGCGCACGUAGGCGGCUUUCUAAGUCGGAGGUGAAAUCCUGGAGCUCAACUCCAGAACUGCCUUCGAUACUGGAAGACUCGAGUCCGGGAGAGGUGAGUGGAACUGCGAGUGUAGAGGUGAAAUUCGUAGAUAUUCGCAAGAACACCAGUGGCGAAGGCGGCUCACUGGCCCGGUACUGACGCUGAGGUGCGAAAGCGUGGGGAGCAAACAGGG